rnacentral:lncRNA from 1 species
UGAAGAUUAGCCAUGAGGUGAGCCAGGUGGUGGCAGCUUCACCCUGUCGAUGCCAGAACUCAUUCUGACAUCAGGACUGGGCAGACGGACUUCCUCGGGCUGCUUGUUCCAUGAGAAUUCUCCUGGAAUGAUGUGCUUGGAUGAAAAAGACAAUUUCCUGAGUUUCCCUCUCAUGCGGAGCCGAAGCUGGACUGUACUGCUGCGAUC